CCGAGUGUAAAAACUCCCAAACCAUUGUGAACUUACCACUGUUGCUUCGGCGGCCUCGCCCCGGGCGCGUUCGCGCGGCCCGGACCCAGGCGUCCGCCGGAGGCUCCAAACUCUUGUCUUUUAGUGUAUUUCUGAGUGGCAUAAGCAAAUAAAUCA
rnacentral:misc_RNA from 1 species